rnacentral:rRNA from 1 species
ACGAACGCUGGCGGCGUGCCUAAUACAUGCAAGUCGAGCGGACAGAAGGGAGCUUGCUCCCGGAUGUUAGCGGCGGACGGGUGAGUAACACGUGGGUAACCUGCCUGUAAGACUGGGAUAACUCCGGGAAACCGGAGCUAAUACCGGAUAGUUCCUUGAACCGCAUGGUUCAAGGAUGAAAGACGGUUUCGGCUGUCACUUACAGAUGGACCCGCGGCGCAUUAGCUAGUUGGUGAGGUAACGGCUCACCAAGGCGACGAUGCGUAGCCGACCUGAGAGGGUGAUCGGCCACACUGGGACUGAGACACGGCCCAGACUCCUACGGGAGGCAGCAGUAGGGAAUCUUCCGCAAUGGACGAAAGUCUGACGGAGCAACGCCGCGUGAGUGAUGAAGGUUUUCGGAUCGUAAAGCUCUGUUGUUAGGGAAGAACAAGUGCAAGAGUAACUGCUUGCACCUUGACGGUACCUAACCAGAAAGCCACGGCUAACUACGUGCCAGCAGCCGCGGUAAUACGUAGGUGGCAAGCGUUGUCCGGAAUUAUUGGGCGUAAAGGGCUCGCAGGCGGUUUCUUAAGUCUGAUGUGAAAGCCCCCGGCUCAACCGGGGAGGGUCAUUGGAAACUGGGAAACUUGAGUGCAGAAGAGGAGAGUGGAAUUCCACGUGUAGCGGUGAAAUGCGUAGAGAUGUGGAGGAACACCAGUGGCGAAGGCGACUCUCUGGUCUGUAACUGACGCUGAGGAGCGAAAGCGUGGGGAGCGAACAGGAUUAGAUACCCUGGUAGUCCACGCCGUAAACGAUGAGUGCUAAGUGUUAGGGGGUUUCCGCCCCUUAGUGCUGCAGCUAACGCAUUAAGCACUCCGCCUGGGGAGUACGGUCGCAAGACUGAAACUCAAAGGAAUUGACGGGGGCCCGCACAAGCGGUGGAGCAUGUGGUUUAAUUCGAAGCAACGCGAAGAACCUUACCAGGUCUUGACAUCCUCUGACAACCCUAGAGAUAGGGCUUUCCCUUCGGGGACAGAGUGACAGGUGGUGCAUGGUUGUCGUCAGCUCGUGUCGUGAGAUGUUGGGUUAAGUCCCGCAACGAGCGCAACCCUUGAUCUUAGUUGCCAGCAUUCAGUUGGGCACUCUAAGGUGACUGCCGGUGACAAACCGGAGGAAGGUGGGGAUGACGUCAAAUCAUCAUGCCCCUUAUGACCUGGGCUACACACGUGCUACAAUGGACAGAACAAAGGGCUGCGAGACCGCAAGGUUUAGCCAAUCCCACAAAUCUGUUCUCAGUUCGGAUCGCAGUCUGCAACUCGACUGCGUGAAGCUGGAAUCGCUAGUAAUCGCGGAUCAGCAUGCCGCGGUGAAUACGUUCCC